ensembl:rRNA 5S_rRNA 5S ribosomal RNA
GUCUACGGCCAUACUACCCUGAACACGCCCAAUCUCGUCUGAUCUUGGAAGCUAAGCAGGGUUGGGCCUGGUUAGUACUUGGAUGGGAGAAAGUGAACCACCUGGGAUGGAAU